GUUUUUUUCUCUGUCGGCUUCAACUACCCGCCGUCCAGUUUGAAAUUUGUCAGCUUCACGCUCUUGCGCAUGCGUGGAGUUCUCCGUCUCGCUGUUGAUGACGUAUGACGUUGCGCUUAAUAUUUUACGUCGCUAGAGGGCAGAGCGCAACAACUCACCGCCACGUUAACAUCCACAGGUGUUUCUCGGUAAACGCUCUUCUUUUUAAGCUUGCAAUUGAAUGAAAACGGAUGUAAAGCCAGAAAGUUUCCACAAACUCAAUAUGAAGAGUCGAGACAGUACUCGUAGUUCAAUUUAAAUACAUUUUGACGGGUUUUCAACUGUGUUAAAGUAGUUUUUUGUACACAUUAGGGGCGUUGUGAACCACUUUAAGGCACUGUUUUCAUGCAGUUAAAGCAGUCACCGUCAAAAAACAAGGAGAAACAGCUUUGAAGCAACGCGUUCUCCUCCAUCCCUUGUCUGCUGGGCCUGUUUCUGGUCGGUUGGCUCACUAAUCCUUCCAUAUCUAAAACACAAGACAAAGAUGGCGCUACCUCAUGAAUGGAGCAUCAACAAGUGACAUCUACAACACAACAGAAAUGUCUGGAAGCCAGUGGCCACCACUUUGAGCACCUCUUGUAAUUGUAGAGGCCAAA